CCUAACCACAAUGAGAUACCAUCUCACACUAGGCAGAAUAGCUACUAUCAAAAAGUCAAAAAACGACAGAUGCUGGCAAGGUUUGUGCAGAAAAGGGAAUGUUUAUACACUUGGUGGAAUGCAAAUUAGUUCAACCACUAUGGAAAACAGUUUGGAGAUUCUUCAAAGAACUGAAAACAGAACUAUCAUUUGACCCAGCAAUCUCAUCACUGAGUGUAUGUCCAAAAGAAACAAAUCUUUCUACCAAAAUGACUCAUGGCCUCGUAUGUUCAUUGCAGCACUCUUCACAACAGAAAAGACAUAGAGUCAACCCAGGUGCCCAUCAAUGGUGGACUGGAUAAAGAAAAUAUGGUACAUAUAUACCAUGGAAUACUAUGUAGCCAUAAAAAAGAAUGAAAUCAUGUCCUUUGCAGCAACAUGGAGGGAACUGGAGGUCAUUAUCCUAAGUGAGUUAACACAGGAACAGAACACCAAAUACCAUAUGCUCUCACUUAUAAGUGGGAGCUAAACACUGGGUACUCAUGGACAUAAAGAUGGCGAUAGAAACUAAGGACUACUAGAUGGGGAAAGAAGGGAAGGAAGCAAGGGUUGAAAAACUAACUAUUGGGUACUGUGCUCAGUACCUGGGUGAUGCAAUCACUCAUAGCCCAAACCUCAGCGUCAUGCAAUAUACCCUUGUAACAAACCUGUGCAUGUGCUCCUAAAUCCAAAAUAAAAGUUGAAAAAAUAAGUAAAAUUUAAAAUAAAUCUAUCUCAGAUUUAAAACACAAAUAAAUAAUAAAAUGCACCAUGUAAACUAGAAUAUGCCACUAUUUUACAGCAUAUAAGUUAUCUAAAAUUCUGUGUAAGCAACAUGAUGUUUUCCACCCAUCCUGAGACUUUUCUAUGGAAGUGUUCAUAUGGUGGCAUGUGUCAAUCUUAUAAAAUAUUAGAGUAGCUAAAAUGAUUAUCCAAGGACAAUUUUAAAAAGAUUUGGGUAUCAUUCGUAUCUCUGCAAAUAAUAAAAUUUAAAUGACCACAAAAUAUGUUCAACCCAAAUUUAUAGUACUUCCAAAUUAAAUUCCCAAAUUUGACAAAUACUGAAAUAAUAUUUUCUCUUAUAAUCUUAUGCUCUUGCCUGUUAUUUAUAAUGGCUCAGAUGACAUGUUCAUUGCAUUAAAAUCUAUAUGGUAGGCCAGGCGCAGUGGCUCACGCCUGUAAUUCCAGCACUUUGGGAGGCCAAGGCAGGCGGAUCAUGAUGUAAGGAGAUCAAGACCAUCCCGGCUAACACAGUGAAACCCCAUCUCUACUAAAGAUACAAAAAAUUAGCUGGGCGUGGUAGCACACACCUGUAGUCCCAGCUACUUGGGAGGCUGAGGCAGGACAAUCACUUGAACCUGGGAGGUGGAGGUUGCAGCGAGCCAAGAUUAGGCCGCUGCACUCCAGCCUGGGCGAUAGAGCAAGACUCUGGCAAAAAAACAAAAAACAAAAAAAAAAA
rnacentral:lncRNA from 1 species